GAACGCGAAGAACCUUACCCGGGCUUGAAUUGCAGAGGAAGGAUUUAGAGAUAAUGACGCCCUUCGGGGUCUCUGUGAAGGUGCUGCAUGGUUGUCGUCAGCUCGUGCCGUGAGGUGUCGGCUUAAGUGCCAUAACGAGCGCAACCCCUCUCUUCAGUUGCCAUCAGGUUAAGCUGGGCACUCUGGAGACACUGCCACCGUAAGGUGUGAGGAAGUGGGGAUGACGUCAAAUCAGCACGGCCCUUACGUCCGGGGCUACACACGUGUUACAAUGGCCGGUACAGAGGGAUGGUGUAAUGCAAAUUGCAUCCAAUCUUGAAAGCCGGUCCCAGUUCGGACUGGGGUCUGCAACCCGACCCCACGAAGCUGGAUUCGCUAGUAAUCGCGCAUCAGCCAUGGCGCGGUGAAUACGUUCCCGGGUCUUGUACACACC
rnacentral:rRNA from 1 species